UGACUUAGCGGGCUGGUUCUGAUUGAAGUUGUUGCAUAACUGUUGUGCAUGCUCUGCCUUGAUUGCUUAGCUUGAUUAGGAAUUGCAGGCUUGUGGGCUGAUGUGGCAUGUUGAAUUGUUGCAUAUACUCCAACACUAAUGCUGCAUCACUCAGUGUGUGUUCUACCCUUGUUUUAGGAAAUAUUCUCUCCGUGGAUUAAUAAGGAUCCACAGAAUACAGAAGUUGGAGGUGAAUUAUUUUCGGCGCUAUUGACCUGAAACACCAUCUAGGGGAUCAUACUUAUGUCUCAGUAACUGAUAGUGGUUACUGGCAGAUAGAGCUAGAAGGUCUUGACAUUGCAAACAGUUCAACAGGUCACUGUUCGGCAGAAUACUGCAUCAUGUGAAGAGAUGGCUACAACAAUGUCUACGGCAGAAUCUGUAGCUCUUAAAGGACUACCUCAAUGCAUUGUUACUGUG